rnacentral:tRNA from 1 species
GCGAAAGUGGCGGAAUCGGUAGACGCACUGGAUUUAGGUUCCAGCGCCGCAAGGCGUGAGAGUUCGAGUCUCUCCUUUCGCACCA